ACUCCUACGGGAGGCAGCAGUGGGGAAUAUUGCACAAUGGGGGAAACCCUGAUGCAGCCAUGCCGCGUGUGUGAAGAAGGCCUUCGGGUUGUAAAGCACUUUCAGUAGGGAGGAAGGUAGUGUAGUUAACACCUGCAUUAUUUGACGUUACCUACAGAAGAAGCACCGGCUAACUCCGUGCCAGCAGCCGCGGUAAUACGGAGGGUGCGAGCGUUAAUCGGAAUUACUGGGCGUAAAGCGCAUGCAGGCGGCCUGUUAAGUCAGAUGUGAAAGCCCGGGGCUUAACCUCGGAAUUGCAUUUGAAACUGGCAGGCUAGAGUCUUGUAGAGGGGGGUAGAAUUUCAGGUGUAGCGGUGAAAUGCGUAGAGAUCUGAAGGAAUACCAGUGGCGAAGGCGGCCCCCUGGACAGAUACUGACACUCAGAUGCGAAAGCGUGGGGAGCAAACAGGAUUAGAUACCCUGGUA
rnacentral:rRNA from 1 species